UACGGGAGGCAGCAGUGGGGAAUAUUGCACAAUGGGCGCAAGCCUGAUGCAGCCAUGCCGCGUGUAUGAAGAAGGCCUUCGGGUUGUAAAGUACUUUCAGUCGUGAGGAAGGUGUUAAGGUUAAUAACCUUAGCAAUUGACGUUAGCGACAGAAGAAGCACCGGCUAACUCCGUGCCAGCAGCCGCGGUAAUACGGAGGGUGCGAGCGUUAAUCGGAAUUACUGGGCGUAAAGGGCACGCAGGCGGUUAAUUAAGUUGGAUGUGAAAUCCCCGGGCUUAACCUGGGAAUGGCAUUCAAGACUGGUUAGCUAGAGUCUUGUAGAGGGGGUAGAAUUCCAUGUGUGGCGGUGAAAUGCGUAGAGAUGUGGAGGAAUACCGGUGGCGAAGGCGGCCCCUGGACAAAGACUGACGCUCAUGUGCGAAAGCGUGGGGAGCAAACAGGAUUAGAUACC
rnacentral:rRNA from 1 species